GAAGGUAGCUUGCUACUGGACCUAGCGGCGGACGGGUGAGUAAUGCUUAGGAAUCUGCCUAUUAGUGGGGGACAACAUCUCGAAAGGGAUGCUAAUACCGCAUACGUCCUACGGGAGAAAGCAGGGGAUCUUCGGACCUUGCGCUAAUAGAUGAGCCUAAGUCGGAUUAGCUAGUUGGUGGGGUAAAGGCCUACCAAGGCGACGAUCUGUAGCGGGUCUGAGAGGAUGAUCCGCCACACUGGGACUGAGACACGGCCCAGACUCCUACGGAGGCCAGCAGUAAA
rnacentral:rRNA from 1 species